rnacentral:tRNA from 1 species
ACUUUGAUAGCUUAUAAAGAGUUUAACAUUGAAGCUGUUAAGGUGGAGUUUCCUCAGAGUG